rnacentral:rRNA from 1 species
UACGUAGGGUGCAAGCGUUAAUCGGAAUUACUGGGCGUAAAGCGUGCGCAGGCGGUUAUGCAAGACCGAUGUGAAAUCCCCGGGCUUAACCUGGGAACUGCAUUGGUGACUGGCAGGCUUUGAGUGUGGCAGAGGGAGGUAGAAUUCCACGUGUAGCAGUGAAAUGCGUAGAGAUGUGGAGGAAUACCGAUGGCGAAGGCAGCCUCCUGGGCCAACACUGACGCUCAUGCACGAAAGCGUGGGGAGCAAACAGG